GACGAACCGUACGAACGUUAUUCGGAAUCACUGGGCUUAAAGGGUGCGUAGGCUGCGCAGCAAGUUGGGUGUGAAAUCCCUCGGCUUAACCGAGGAACUGCGCCCAAAACUGCUGUGCUCGAGGGAGAUAGAGGUGAGCGGAACUUAGGGUGGAGCGGUGAAAUGCGUUGAUAUCCUAAGGAACACCGGUGGCGAAAGCGGCUACACUGGAUCUCUUCUGACGCUGAGGCACGAAAGCUAGGGUAGCGAACGGGA
rnacentral:rRNA from 1 species